ensembl:lncRNA
UUUCAAAUUUGCAUUUUUAUCAGUAUCAAAGUUUAUGAAUGCUGCAAAUAGUUUCAGCAACUCCUUUAGUCCCUUUGAAGUUCUUGAAACUACCAUCAUUUAGUUCCAUGUUAUAAAAAAUGAAUGUAGGGGUGCCUUUGGUCCUAAACCUUGCCCAAGAGGUCAGUCUGAGCGGCCAACCUGCUGCCUGGUGGUUGCCGGUUUGCUGCACCUGGGCUGGAUCUGCCAUGUCGUGGGAGGAGGGUAGAGGCCAUCACGGCCUGGCCAUGUGUCCAUGCCUGACAGCCCUCCUGCAGGGCAGCCUGGGCUUGUUUUUAAGCCCACAUGUUAAAGAUUGAGAAAGUUCUCAUUUUCCUCCUUUGAUGCCAGAAAAAAGGUCAUGAGGAAAGGCAUUCAGGACUGAAGGAACAGCAUGUGUGAGGCACACCCACGCCAAACCAGACUGCGUCAGUGCAGGGAGAGGUGGGUUCACUGGUGGGUGACGAGGUGGAGAGAUGAGUGCAGAGGAGACUGGCAGGACUAAAGUAGGAACUGUCAUGGUCAGAGAGCCUUCUUAGGUGGACGACAUGGCAGCUGUGGAGGAGGAUAUGGGCACAGGCGAGGCUGCAACAGUGGGGACAAGGGGCAGGCACACAGCACAGUCAGGGAGAGCCCAGAGGACUUGGGGUGUCCAUGGGUGGGGUGCAUGGCUGCACCCAAGCACAGAGCUUGGGCAACUGCAGGAAUGACAGAGGGACCCUAGGAGCAGCAGAAGGGGCACAACUGUUAGGGUCCACCUGGCAUCCCUGGGUCAUCUGGAGGCUGCUGGAAAGCUGAUGCUGGAGCUGAGAGUCCUUGAGGAGCCUGGAGUGAGGCCUCAGACACCACCUCCCACCGCCGGCCUUGGCUAGUUUGACCUUCAGGCUCAGAUGGUCCCUAGGGAUGCUGGUCCCAAACAGCUGCUGCAUCUGCCAGGCGCAGCCCUCCCCAGGACUCAACUCCUGCCCUGCCCCCAACAGCAGUUAGGAGACCCUACACAGCCUGGUCCAGGGCUCCCAAGGGGCAGACACCCACAUCCGGGCUAAGAGCAAGGCCGUGGAAAAGUCCUGCCUGGGCCAACGGUGUGGCUCAACUGAAACCCAGAUGGUGGACACAGGGACUGCCCUUCAGCCUGACAGCUGCACCCAGAACUUAGAGAGGGCCCUGACAAGGGAGGAGGGCAGCCACAUGGGGAGGGAAGGGAGACCCUGCUAGGGGGAGGGCUGAGGUGAAGCCCCCCCCACUGCCUGCACGGUGGGGAAGGGUUCCCAGGCAGCAGGUCACAGGCUAAGGGAACCCCAGCCCCAGGCCAUAGGAACAGCUGCUAUGGAAUAAAGACUCUCCAAUAGGCUUGCUGCGCACAUCAGAAAAGCCCAAAUGACAGUCUUUCAAAAAAGAAAGGUGUUUAUUUCUCUGCCAAGUAAUAAGGCCAGAGAAGGCAGUCCGGGCAUUCUGUCACCAUCAAGGUCUCAGGGAACCAGACUCCAUCUGCCUGCUCCAUCCAGGUGCAGGCUACCCUCCUCAAGGUCACCUCUCAGGGUCCAUGGUGCCACUGAGGCUUCCAGAUGGAAUCCGUGGGAAGCAGGGGGUGCAGCAGGAGAGCACAGCUCCCAGGUGUCAUACACUUCUGUGUCCAUUUUGUUGCCCAGAACACAGGCACACAGCAGCACCAGGUGCAAGGAGCUGGGACAUGCAGUCCCUUAUCUAGCUGGGCACGCCAGAUAAAACCCAGAUACCAGGACACAACCGCAGUCUCUGCCACGACUGUAGCAGGCAGGCUGGCAUCCUCGAGGAGGUGGUCCCCCAUGCAUGCGUUAGUCAUCCACCUGAGCCAAUGAGACCUGCCCACCCACUCAGGAAGCCCUGAGGGUCCCUGCUGACCAGCAGAAGUGGUCAUACCCUAGGCCCACCCACUCCUCUCUCCCCAACAGAGUGCCCUGACCCAUUGGUUGCAGGGACUCAGAAAAGCAAAACAAACUGGAUAGUUUCUUGCUUGACAAACUCCAGUCCCAGAUCUUUCCCAGGACUCCAGGGGAAGCCAAGGUCACCUGAGUCCCGGGGACCCUGACCCAGUCUCACAAAGCAGCAGACAAGACCAAGGCAGGGAGACCAGCAAGAUGGAGGUGUAAGCCAAGGCCAGCACUUGGAGGGGAGGCUGGAAGGCAGAUCCAAGGGCAGCCACAAGCUGUCUGGGGAUGACUACAUACCCCAGGCGGAGGAGAUGGCCAGGCCUUCCUGGCCUGAACUCAAUCAAUUUCUUGAAUACCUGAUGUCCCAAGACCCCAGGCCAGUCAGACCUGAGACCUGCAGGGCCAGAGUCUGGGGAUGAGUGGGAGAGGGUUCCGAAAGGCUAGCCCAGGGCUAGGCUGCCAGCCAGAGCAGCUGAUUCCUGCUGUCCCAUCUGAGUGACACCUCAUGCCAGCUGCUGUUCAGCUCACCUCUGGGGACCAGCACAGCACUCAUGGUAUAAGCUGGCCGGGCCCUCUGGGACCCUCAUUCCCACACAGUCUCAUCAGUGUGAAGGUGACUGCCGUCAGUGGCACUAAGGGCCAGAGUAAGAGGGACGUUCCUGGGUAGACAGCCCAGGCCCCACCUGGCCCAGAGGGGCUAAACUCCACCCACUCCUGCAUGGAGGAGAUGGCUCAUAGGGGCUCCAAGAGGUACCCCCAAUACCAAAGUCGGGGUUAGCCACUCACCCCACCCUACAGCUGAGGCCAGCAGGCUGAGUGUGCGAUAUCCCACCCUCCAGACAUAAGGCCCCAUUCCCUGAACCCUGGCUCAGGUCCAACCCCAAACCCUGGAAUGUUCAAGAUCCCGCAGCC